GAUGGGAUUCACAGAAAAUCAAGUAAGUUAAUUACUCUUUACUGCAGUUUUUCUAAGUUUGAAUUUAAGGAAAUAGAAUCAAAAUAUAGAAACUUUUAAUACAGUACAUUAAUCUUAAUACUGAGCACUAAUCGAAAUAUAGAUAGCACUAAUAUGAAAAUGGAUAUUUGUUACCUUAUCCUAAAAUCAAAGCAUAUUAAUUAUAUAUUACUAUUUAGUUAGAGGUGUGGGUCUAUCACUGUGAUUCUAUCAUUACUCACUAGUGUUUGUUUUUAUACGUGACUAGGUCUGAGGCCGUAUUAGUUGAGGGAAUUGUCAAUGAUGUUCUGAAAAAAUUUAGUGAUAUGUCUAAAGGUGAUGAUUCUUGAAUUUAGUGAACAUGAAAAUGACGAAGCACAUAAAAGUGAAUCUGAA
rnacentral:misc_RNA from 1 species